rnacentral:snRNA from 1 species
AGCUUUGCACAGUGGCAGUAUUGUAGCCAAUGAGGUUUAUCUGAGGUGAGAUUAUUGCUAAUUGAAACAUUUUGCUAAAG